UGUAGAGGGUGGUAAGCAUCAAGGUUAUCAAGGCGGACUUUCUAGGCGAGAUGCCACCGACUGCCUAGUCGACUAGUCGACUAGGCGACCGCCUAGGCGAUGAGUAUUAAAUAAAUAAAAAGUAUAUAUAUAUAUUGAAAAUA